rnacentral:rRNA from 1 species
CAAUAGCGUAUAUUAAAGUUGUUGCAGUUAAAAAGCUCGUAGUUGGAUUUCUGGUGGGAGCGAUCGGUCUGGCGCUUAGCGCGAGUACUUGCAUCGUCUCCGGCCAUCCUUGGGGAGAGUCUGUCUGGCAUUAGGUUGUCGGGCAGAGGAUCCUCAUCGUUUACUGUGAAAAAAUUAGAGUGUUCAAAGCAGGCUUAUGCCGUUGAAUAUAUUAGCAUUGAAUAAUAAGAUAGGACUUUGGUACUAUUUUGUUGGUUUGCGCACCAAAGUAAUGAUUAAUAGGGACAGUUGGGGGUAUUCGUAUUCCGUUGUCAGAGGUGAAAUUCUUGGAUUUACGGAAGACGAACUACUGCGAAAGCAUUUACCAAGGAUGUUUUCAUUAA